rnacentral:rRNA from 1 species
GGGUUCUACCGUUGGUCGGGCAAUAGUCUGUACUGGCGUGUAGAAUUUCUACCUUCUGGGGAACCAUCAUGUUAUUUAUUUAGCGUGGUGGGAAACCAGGACCUUUACCUUGAAAAAAUUAGAGUGUUCAAAGCAGGCUUACGUCUGAAUACAUUAGCAUGGAAUAAUAAAAUAGGACGGUGGUCCUGUUUUGUUGGUUUCUGAAUCACCGUAAUGAUUA